rnacentral:rRNA from 1 species
AGCCGUUGAAGGUGGCCUGUGAGGGCUGCUGGAGGUAUCAGAAGUGCGAAUGCUGACAUAAGUAACGAUAAUGCGGGUGAAAAACCCGCACGCCGGAAGACCAAGGGUUCCUGUCCAACGUUAAUCGGGGCAGGGUGAGUCGACCCCUAAGGCGAGGCUGAAAAGCGUAGUCGAUGGGAAACAGGUUAAUAUUCCUGUACUGGGUGUGACUGCGAAGGGGGGACGGAGAAGGCUAGGCUAGCCGGGCGACGGUUGUCCCGGUUUAAGCAUGUAGGCGGAGCGACUUGGUAAAUCCGGUUGCUUAUCAACGCUGAGGUGUGAUGACGAGCCACUACGGUGGUGAAGUAGUUGAUGCCAAGCUUCCAGGAAAAGCCUCUAAGCAUCAGGUGACAUUCAAUCGUACCCCAAACCGACACAGGUGGUCAGGUAGAGAAUACUCAGGCGCUUGAGAGAACUCGGGUGAAGGAACUAGGCAAAAUGGUGCCGUAACUUCGGGAGAAGGCACGCUGGCAUUAGGUAAAGAGACUUGCUCUCGGCGCCGAAGCCAGUCGCAGAUACCAGCUGGCUGCAACUGUUUAAUAAAAACACAGCACUGUGCAAACACGAAAGUGGACGUAUACGGUGUGACGCCUGCCCGGUGCUGGAAGGUUAAUUGAUGGGGUCAGCCGCAAGGCGAAGCUCUUGAUCGAAGCCCCAGUAAACGGCGGCCGUAACUAUAACGGUCCUAAGGUAGCGAAAUUCCUUGUCGGGUAAGUUCCGACCUGCACGAAUGGCGUAAUGAUGGCCAGGCUGUCUCCACCCGAGACUCAGUGAAAUUGAACUCGCUGUGAAGAUGCAGUGUACCCGCGGCAAGACGGAAAGACCCCGUGAACCUUUACUAUAGCUUGACACUGAAUAUUGAGCCUUGAUGUGUAGGAUAGGUGGGAGGCAUCGAAGCGUGGACGCCAGUCUGCGUGGAGCCAACCUUGAAAUACCACCCUUUAAUGUUUGAUGUUCUAACUCGGCCCCAUAAUCUGGGGUGAGGACAGUGUCUGGUGGGUAGUUUGACUGGGGCGGUCUCCUCCCAAAGAGUAACGGAGGAGCACGAAGGUUAGCUAAUCACGGUCGGACAUCGUGAGGUUAGUGCAAAGGCAUAAGCUAGCUUGACUGCGAGAGUGACGGCUCGAGCAGGUACGAAAGUAGGUCUUAGUGAUCCGGUGGUUCUGAAUGGAAGGGCCAUCGCUCAACGGAUAAAAGGUACUCCGGGGAUAACAGGCUGAUACCGCCCAAGAGUUCAUAUCGACGGCGGUGUUUGGCACCUCGAUGUCGGCUCAUCACAUCCUGGGGCUGAAGUAGGUCCCAAGGGUAUGGCUGUUCGCCAUUUAAAGUGGUACGCGAGCUGGGUUUAGAACGUCGUGAGACAGUUCGGUCCCUAUCUGCCGUGGGCGUUGGAAGAUUGAGAGGGGCUGCUCCUAGUACGAGAGGACCGGAGUGGACGCAUCACUGGUGUUCGGGUUGUCAUGCCAAUGGCAUUGCCCGGUAGCUAAAUGCGGAAAAGAUAAGCGCUGAAAGCAUCUAAGCGCGAAACUUGCCUCGAGAUGAGUCUUCCCUGGGGCUUUAAGCCCCCUGAAGGAACGUUAAAGACUAUGACGUUGAUAGGCUGGGUGUGUAAGUGCAGCGAUGCAUUGAGCUAACCAGUACUAAUGAUCCGUGAGGCUUAACCUUACAACACCGAAGGUGUUU